UACAGAGGGGGCAAGCGUUGUUCGGAAUUACUGGGCGUAAAGGCGCGUAGGCGGCCUGUUAAGUCGGACGUGAAAUCCCUCGGCUCAACCGGGGAACUGCGUCCGAUACUGGCGGGCUUGAAUUCGGGAGAGGGAUGUGGAAUUCCAGGUGUAGCGGUGAAAUGCGCAGAUAUCGGGAGGAACACCAAUGGCGAAGGCAGCUCGCUGGGACGGUACGUGACGCUGAGACGCGAAAGCGUGGGGA
rnacentral:rRNA from 1 species